UACGUAGGGGGCUAGCGUUGUCCGGAUUUAUUGGGCGUAAAGAGCGUGUAGGCGGCCAGAUAGGUCUGCUGUGAAAACUCGAGGCUCAACCUCGAGAUGUCGGCGGAAACCAUUUGGCUAGAGUCCGGAAGAGGAAAGUGGAAUUCCUGGUGUAGCAGUGAAAUGCGUAGAUAUCAGGAGGAAUACCGAUGGCGAAGGCAGGUCUCUGGGCUGACACUGACGCUCAUGCACGAAAGCGUGGGGAGCAAACAGG
rnacentral:rRNA from 1 species